rnacentral:rRNA from 1 species
GACAAACGCUGGCGGCGUGCAUAAAACAUGCAAGUCGGACGAGCCAAUCCCCGCAAGGGGAAAGGCUAGUGGCGAACGGCUGAGUAACACGUAGGUGACCUGCCCUGAAGUGGGGGAUAA